AGUGAACGCUGGCGGUAGGCCUAACACAUGCAAGUCGAACGGCAGCACAGUGGGAGCUUGCUCUUACGGGUGGCGAGUGGCGGACGGGUGAGGAAUACAUCGGAAUCUACUUUUUCGUGGGGGAUAACGUAGGGAAACUUACGCUAAUACCGCAUACGACCUACGGGUGAAAGCAGGGGAUCUACGGACCUUGCGCGAUUGAAUGAGCCGAUGUCGGAUUAGCUAGUUGGCGGGGUAAAGGCCCACCAAGGCGACGAUCCGUAGCUGGUCUGAGAGGAUGAUCAGCCACACUGGAACUGAGACACGGUCCAGACUCCUACGGGAGGCAGCAGUGGGGAAUAUUGGACAAUGGGCGCAAGCCUGAUCCAGCCAUACUGCGUGGGUGAAGAAGGCCUUCGGGUUGUAAAGCCCUUUUGUUGGGAAAGAAAAGCAGCAGGUUAAUACCCCGCUGUUCUGACGGUACCCAAAGAAUAAGCACCGGCUAACUUCGUG
rnacentral:rRNA from 1 species